rnacentral:rRNA from 1 species
CACGUAGGGGGCGAGCGUUGUCCGGAUUACUGGGCGUAAAGAGCGCGCAGGCGGUCGUUCAAGUCGAGUGUGAAAGCCCCCCGGCUCAACUGGGGAGGGUCAUUCGAUACUGAUCGACUCGAAGGCAGGAGAGGGAAGUGGAAUUCCCGGUGUAGUGGUGAAAUGCGUAGAUAUCGGGAGGAACACCAGUGGCGAAGGCGGCGACCUGGUCCGAGACUGACGCUGAGGCGCGAAAGCGUGGGGAGCAAACAGGG